AGAAAAGAAAAAUACGAUUUUUUUGGGGGGUUUGUUUCAAUUCUUAAUCAGAAUGUUUUCCUAUUUACUUUUUUAACAAUCGUUACGAUUGAUACAGUUGAACUUUUGGGUUUUCUUGAUUAUAGUUACAGAGAGAGUGCGUGUAAAAGAGAUGAAUAUCUGUGUUUGAUUGCUGUUUAUACUCUUGAAAUAGGAUAUUUGCCUAUUGCCAAGCUGGAAAUUGGAGUGAUAUAAUUGGACCUGUAAAUUCAUAGUUUAUUUUCUUGUCAAAAAAUCUUUGUUUCACAAGAUUUUAGGGUUCUCUGCUCAGAGGCUCAAAUUUUGAUAUACUAUAGAAUAGACAAAGUGAUGGCAAUAAAGUUAUUCUUUCUGGGGCUAAAUGAUGAUGACUGUUUACUAAUUGGUGACAUGAUGUUCUGAACAUAAAGAAUGGCUGAUAAGAUUGGAAGAAGAAUUGAAUUUGCCAUUUUAAUAAAUCAUUAAGAUUGGUAGAAGAAUUAAAUUUUCCAUUUUGAUACAUCAUAGGUGUCUGAGAGUGUGAGUGUAGGUUCUUUGAGUGAAAUGCAUGUCCAGUCUAGUUUCUAACUUUCAAUGUAAAAUUCUCUAGAGUUACCAGCAUCAAUGAUUACGUUAAAUUUUAGCUACAAGUUCACCGUAGGAAUCUAGAUAUAUUUUGUAAUUGCACUAUAUUUACAUUCUUUUUGAUGAUGGCAACAUGGUACUAGGAAUAUAUACUGAUUUCAGUUUCAAUGAAUCAUGCAGAAACCCCUUGUGCUAAACCGGU
rnacentral:misc_RNA from 1 species